UGUAACUUUUGUUUGUUUUGGGGGGGGGGGGGGGGAAGUUCUGACCGUCGGAUGGAUCCUUCUAUGCAAUUUCCACUGAUUAUUGCUUCCUCCUGAUUUAUGAGUAUUCGCAUAUUUGUAGACUAAAUUUGCUAGGAUUUGAAGGGCUGGCCAAUUUCCAUGGUGGUUUUAUAACUAUAUUCUGGAUUCAUCAGAAGUGUGUAAGGGCUGGGUAUUUGAAUUGGUUGCAUCAGUUACAUGGCUGUUUAGCCUUAUGUCUUUUGUUGAUCAUCAGACUUGUGAUUUAAAUAUGAAGGGUUUCCAGAAACACGAGGCAGCAGCAUGCUCUCAUCAUAUGAGGUGCAUUUCCAAGUUCCAGCAAUCUGAAUCUUCAUAGUCAUGGAAGGCAGUUGUGGAGAUACUGUACUCCUUGAUUCUUCCCUGUUCUGGUCACUUUCCAUUUACUAUACUGUUGGGAUUCUUUUUAAUUCUUCAUUUUCUCUUUCAAUGUUUGAUGUGUAAUUGUUUUGAGCUAUAGCCGAAGUGUCUUUUGCUGGUAUUAUUACAACAAGGUUACAGAGUAAUCGAAAUGGGUAAUGCCCGAGGAACUGAAGAUUUUUCAUAAACGAAAGGAUCAGUUAGCAAUCUUUAGGCUGUCUGAUGUUGAUCUCUUGCAAUAUGGGGAGAAGGUCGCAUGCAUGGCAAAAGCGAUGUUGACUUUAGAUGCAAGAAAUAAAUUGGUUGAUUGCCUUCGAGACUGGAAGCAAGAGCAACUUCUGUAAUAUUUUGUUUGUAAAGUUUGAAGGCGUGUUGAUUCUGUAA